UACGUAGGGGCCGAGCGUUGUCCGGAGUUAUUGGGCGUAAAGCGCGCGCAGGCGGCCUCGCGCGCCCGACGUGAAAGCCCCCGGCUUAACCGGGGAGGGUCGUUGGGGACGGCGGGGCUUGAGGGCGGGAGAGGUCGGUGGAAUUCCCGGUGUAGUGGUGAAAUGCGUAGAGAUCGGGAGAAACACCUGUGGCGAAGGCGGCCGACUGGGCCGACCCUGACGCUGAGGCGCGAAGGCGUGGGGAGCGAACGGG
rnacentral:rRNA from 1 species